rnacentral:lncRNA from 1 species
AGGAAACUGAAUUAACAUUAUCCUGUCUCUGCUACAACAGAGUAUUUAAACAAAUUACAGUUUGGAUAAAACUGCCAAAGAAAAAUCAGACUCUUGUAGGUGUAUAAUUUUUAUGAACUACAAUCCAUCAGAAACAGCAUUACAGCAACACACACAAAAAAAAAAACUAACAUUCCAGCUUCAUUGUAUAUAUACAGACAUUCCAGCUUCAUUGUAUAUAUACAGACAUUCCAGCUUCAUUGUUAGAGAGGUAGAAAAGAUCACGGGGAAAACAUUUAGAAAGCCUGUAAACUAACAUGGCAAAACUCGACUCCAUUAAAAAGGCCAACACUGGUCAGUUCAGUGGGUUUGCAAAAAACACCUUAUAAAGAAUAUCUAUUCACCAAUCCUCAAAGCGAAAUCAUUAUGACAUCAUUGAAAGCAGAAAGGUAGUAAGUACUUA